rnacentral:rRNA from 1 species
GACGAACGCUGGCGGCGUGCUUAAUACAUGCAAGUCAACUUGACUUUAGAUAGCAAUAUCGAAAAGUAGGGUGGCGCACGGGUGCGUAACGCGUAGGUAAUCUGCCCUGAGGUCUGACAUAACCCGUCGAAAGGCGGGCUAACAUCAGAUGAUAUAUAAUCACGACAUCGUGGAAAUAUCAAAUCUUCGGAGCCUUGGGAUGAGCCUGCGUCUGAUUAGGUAGUUGGCGGAGUAAUAGCCCACCAAGCCUACGAUCAGUAGCUGGUCUGAGAGGAUGAUCAGCCACACUGGAACUGAGACACGGUCCAGACUCCUACGGGAGCAGCAGUAAGGAAUAUUGCUCAAUGGGGGAAACCCUGAAGCAGCAACGCCGCGUGAAGGAUAGAAUACUUUUGUAUGUAAACUUCU